CAGCAGCCGCGGUAAUACGGAGGGUGCGAGCGUUAAUCGGAAUUACUGGGCGUAAAGCGCGCGUAGGCGGCUUGGUCAGUCGGAUGUGAAAGCCCCGGGCUUAACCUGGGAAUUGCAUUCGAUACUGCCAAGCUAGAGUAUGGGAGAGGGAAGCGGAAUUUCCGGUGUGGCGGUGAAAUGCGUAGAUAUCGGAAGGAACACCAGUGGCGAAGGCGGCUUCCUGGCCCAAUACUGACGCUCAGGUGCGAAAGCGUGGGGAGCGAACAGGAUUAGAUACCCUGGUAGUCCACGCCGUAAACGAUGAGAACUAGAUGUCGGGAGGAUUUGCCUUUCGGUGUCGCAGCUAACGCGUUAAGUUCUCCGCCUGGGGAGUACGCCGGCACGGUUAAAACUCAAAGGAAUUGACGGGGACCCGCACAAGCGGUGGAGCAUGUGGUUUAAUUCGAUGCAACGCGAAGAACCUUACCUGGUCUUGACAUCCUCGGAACUUUCCAGAAAUGGAUUGGUGCCUUCGGGAGCCGAGUGACAGGUGCUGCAUGGCUGUCGUCAGCUCGUGUCGUGAGAUGUUGGGUUAAGUCCCGCAACGAGCGCAACCCUUGUCCUUAGUUGCCAUCAUUUAGUUGGGCACUUUAGGGAGACCGCCGGUGAUAAACCGGAGGGAGGUGGGGACGACGUCAAGUCAUCAUGGCCCUUAUGACCAGGGCUACACACGUGCUACAAUGGCCGGUACAGAGGGUUGCGAAGCCGCGAGGUGUAGCUAAUCCCAGAAAGCCGGUCGUAGUCCGGAUUGGAGUCUGCAACUCGACUCCAUGAAGUCGGAAUCGCUAGUAAUCGCGAAUCAGCAUUGUCGCGGUGAAUACGUUCCCGGGUCUUGUACACACCGCCCGUCACACCAUGGAAGUAGGUUGCACCAGAAGUAGGUAGUCUAACCCUCGGGAGGACGCUUACCACGGUGUGGCUUAUGACUGGGGUGAAGUCGUAACAAGGUAGCCGUA
rnacentral:rRNA from 1 species